rnacentral:rRNA from 1 species
GAUUCUGGCUCAGGAUGAACGCUGGCGGCGUGCUAAUACAUGCAAGUCGAACGGACAAAUCAGAAAGCUUGCUUUUGAUCGAGUUAGUGGCGAACGGGUGAGUAAUACGUAGGCAACCUGCCCCAAAGUGGGGGAUAGCAGUUGGAAACGACUAUUAAUACCGCAUAGGUAAUUGGAAGGCAUCUUCUAAUUAUUAAAGGUGCGUUUGCACCGCUGUGGGAUGGGCUUACGCCGUAUUAGCUUGUUGGUGAGGUAACGGCCCACCAAGGCGAUGAUACAUAGCCGGUCUGAGAGGACGAACGGCCACAUUGGGACUGAGACACGGCCCAGACUCCUACGGGAGGCAGCAGUAAGGAAUUUUCGGCAAUGGGCGAAAGCCUGACCGAGCAACGCCGCGUGAGUGAUGAAAAGGCCUUCGGGUCGUAAAGCUCUGUGGUAAAGGAAGAACACCAUGAUUAGGAAAUGAUUCAUGGCUGACGGUACUUUACUAGAAAGUCACGGCUUACUACGUGCCAGCAGCUGC